rnacentral:rRNA from 1 species
AUUGAACGCUGGCGGCAGGCCUAACACAUGCAAGUCGAACGGUAACAGGAAGAAGCUUGCUUCUUUGCUGACGAGUGGCGGACGGGUGAGUCAUGUCUGGGAAACUGCCUGAUGGAGGGGGAUAACUACUGGAAACGGUAGCUAAUACCGCAUAAUGUCGCAAGACCAAAGAGGGGGACCUUCGGGCCUCUUGCCAUCGGCUGUGCCCAGAUGGGAUUAGCUAGUAGGUGGGGUAACGGCUCACCUAGGCGACGAUCCCUAGCUGGUCUGAGAGGAUGACCAGCCACACUGGAACUGAGACACGGUCCAGACUCCUACGGGAGGCAGCAGUGGGGAAUAUUGCACAAUGGGCGAAAGCCUGAUGCAGCUAUGCCGCGUGUAUGAAGAAGGCCUUCGGGUUGUAAAGUACUUUCAGCGGGGAGGAAGGGAGUAAAGUUAAUACCUUCGCUCAUUGACGUUACCCGCAGAAGAAGCACCGGCUAACUCCGUG